UACGUAGGGGGCAAGCGUUGUCCGGAAUCAUUGGGCGUAAAGAGCGCGUAGGCGGCCAGAUAAGUCCGGUGUGAAAGUCAAAGGCUCAACCUUUGAAUGCCGCUGGAAACUGUCUGGCUAGAGUCCGGGAGGGGCGAGUGGAAUUCCUGGUGUAGCGGUGAAAUGCGCAGAUAUCAGGAGGAACACCAAUGGCGAAGGCAGCUCGCUGGAACGGUACUGACGCUGAGGCGCGAAAGCGUGGGGAGCGAACAGG
rnacentral:rRNA from 1 species